CGCUCCUCUCUCGAUCCAAGAGAUCACUCCCCACGCCCACUCCUCCUUCUCCCACGCCGCCUUCUCGCCGCCUUUUUCGCCCUCCUCCCUGUAUCGCGCCAGCGCUGCGUCGCCUCCUCAUCUCGCGGCUGCGUCGCCUCCUCACCUCGCCGCAAACGCCGCCGCCGUCGACUCCGCUCCAGAUCCCCGCGUCGCCUCCUCACCUCGCCACCAACGCCGCCGCCGUCGACUCCGCACCAAAUCCCCGCGACCUCGCCCCAUCCGCCCCAGCCGGCGGCGGCCGACUGCCAGAUCCCCGCAUCGCCUCCUCACCUCGCCGCCAACGCCGCCGCCGGCGACGUUGCCGCUGCCCACCCGCCCCAGCCGGCGACGCUGCCGCUGCCCACCCACAAGUUUUGGAUUCUUAAACUCGUAGCGUUUGCUGUCUAUGUUUAGAUGGUAUAUUACUGAUUUGCAGUAUGAGCUAAGCAUCGGUCAUCUUUUCAUUUCAUUCUUGCCUCUGAAGAUAGGUACUGUGCCAUUGAAGAUACAUGUUUGUGUGCAAGCUAAAUCACACUUAUGCAUUUAUGCAUGGUUAAUUACAUUGUUUGCUCUGUUAAUCUACACAACAUGAUGGCGUUCUCUGCAAUCUUAAGGGAUUUAUAGUUUUAUGCAUGAUUAUGCUUUUCAGGUCUUUAGUAAAAAAAUGGUGGUCAGGGAUUUAGUAAGAAAUGCUGGAGCACUAAUUGAUCCUCUGCUCAAAUUGAUCAAAUAGUACUGUCCAUUUAUGCCUACUCUUUUCUGAUCACAUGGUAUUGUGUCAAAUAAAUUUGAUAUUUAGCUUUGGUGUCCUUAAAUGGCAUGGUUGUUUUAUAAGACCCUGUGAUUUUCUACAUGUCACCUUAACAAUCAGUAGGCUCUGUUGGAUUUGUGUGGACUCAUAAAGAAGAGGUGCUUGUGUUUGCUGGUUCAUCAAACAGCUCCAUCAAAGCGGUAGGGCGUGGGAGAAGCCAAAGGUUUGGCUGUGCUGCUACUACUACUAGCAUCCAUUCACAUUCAUUACUCUGUAGAUCAAUAGUACCAUUUUUAUUUGCGGAUCAGCAGUAGGGUUCUGGACUUACAUUGCCGAUCAAAUGAUUUGCGGAUGCAAAUAAUGAAUUUCCAUAUGUACACCUGUAGUGGGCCGUAUGAUAAUAAUAUAUCUGGUACAUUGCAGAAAUGGCUUUGUAGUCCAAAAUUGCUCAUAUAAUUAAGUUGUCAAAUUAUGUGCACGGACAAUGCACCUGAUUUGUCUGCGAUAACAGGUAAUGACGUGCCAAAUUGCUCUUCAGCUUCUGCAUCCGAUGUAAUCACGUUUCUGUCAAGUGACAUUUGAUACUUAGAUGCUAAUAAACUAAAUCUGUAUGACAACAGUUACGGGUUGAAUCAACUAAUUUUCUGACAGUACAUGUGCUUAAGUGCACAACCUAAAAUUUCUUUAAUUCAGAAGAACAUGUAACCACAUUAGGUAUAAAAUUUGCAAGAUAUCGAUCUUAAUGGCCUGGUGCUGCUAGGUGUAUGCAUUAAUUCUGGUGCGCUAGAUAUAGUUUGCUUGCCUCCAGGAUUAUAUGAUAAGUUAGAUGUAUUUUGUUGGCCUGCUGGAUGUAUGCAUUCAGCUCCUGACUUAUUCUUGAUUUAUUUGUGCAUGCCGGAUCCAUGGAAGAAUCAACCCACUAAAGUCUGAACUCUGAAAUAAGGCUUUUGGUAUACUGUGGCCUAUAUAUUCUGCACGUCAUAUAGCUUUCAUGUCACAGUAUAUGUACAGGUUAGCACUGGAUGGAAAUUAAUACCUCAUUUGUUUUCUAUCUUUUCAAGAACUUUGCUCAGGGUUGGUAUAAAUCACCACUUAAGUAACUUUGUGAUGGCAUCCAUCUAGCCCUAUGGCCAUUUACAUAGAGCAAUAACUAUGCAUUUAUCCGCUUUUCUUCUUAUGUAAGUGAAAUGAUCUGGUGGUAUAUGAUUCUGUUAUUCUCUAAGUCAAUAUCUUGGAUGAUCUUAUACUGCUUUUUGUCUGCAGGCUUCGGGGAAGGUUGAGUAUUCAAGCCUUGGUCAAGAGUUUUUUUUUUCUUAUAUGGUUUGACAAAAUAGAUAUUUGGUUGUAUCGCUGACAAAAAUGUUUGAUAUAGCAUAUUCUUGAUUCAUGUAGAUUGACAAAUGAUUUCACAAGCAAAUGAAAGAGUAUGUGUUUUAGACAUUUA